UUUGUAUGUAGUCUUCUAUACAAGAUAUGUAAAAUCCAUGAUUUCUUCUUCUGUAUUUCUGCAUUUGUCUGUUCAACAACUUUAUGCAUGCAAUUUUAUGUCUCUUUUUUGUCUCCAAUCCAUAGGUUUACACGUUUUACUCAUGGGACUCUUGAAGCAACCACACCAGCAACAUGAAACACACCAACAAAAAUACACAAUUAGUCCCUAAGGUUUAAAUUUUAUUUUGAAAGGAAAGAUGGUUAAAGUGUGAAAGAAAUAUUGAAUCUUUUAAUGUUUAUGUAAUCUGUCCAAGUAGUAAAUAUAGUUUAACAAAAAGGUUCUCAUGUUUAUUCAAGAAUUCAGUCUAUCAAUUAUUGAGUAGUGUCUGAAGCAAACACACCAGCAACAUGUUAUAUUAAGUUUAAAUUUUGUAUUUUAAAUUAUAAAAUGCAAUCUAUCUAAACACACAUUUAAAAAAGAAAACUAACAGAUUUUCUGAGCAGUUCUUGCAUUCUAUUCCAGGUUGGUCCAAAAAACUAACAGAUUUUGUAUUUAUAACAUCCAAUAGUCCAAAAAAGUACAUAAACCAUGUAAAAUUGGAAGCAUUUUGCUUGAAUUAUCUCAUACUAUACUGCCAACAUGAACAUACUCCCAUCCAGACAUAAUCUGGAGCUUGUCUGAGCCACAACUUAUCUAAUUAUAUAAUUUUUGUAACAUAAGUCUGAUAUACUUUUCUGAUCAUAUGUAUAUCUGAAUACAUUCUACUGAGUAUAUAUUUCCUUAUACAUAAAUAUUAGGGUAUCUCUCAUGAUAAUGCAUUGUGCAAUUAAAUAUGUGUUUUAGCCUCAUUUUGCCAUCAGAAAUUCAUCCGGGAUCAAAAGGAAUGUUCGUACUUGAUUCAAUGGCGUUCUAAAUGAAAAAUCAAUGUUUUGUUGCGUAAAAAUUACAUUCCCGGGGUUGGUAAUCGAUUACCGGUAUGUGGUAAUCGAUUACCGGUAUGUGGCAAUCGAUUACCACAGUAAAACAUAUACUUAAAGCAUAGCAAGGCAAACAUAUACUUAAAUCGACACAACCAUCGUAUGGGGUACUAAUUAACUUAAUUUAAUCUAAGAUAAUUAUUUAUCUCACUCAAACAUAAUCAUAAACUAUCUAAAAGGUGGGUUCUACAACUAAAGGAACUCACCGCGACUUAUCUAACCACUUUCAACAGCUUAAGCUCCACCUUCUGCUUAAGCCUCUGUCUGCCAAGCUCUUGCUUCUGUCUUCUCCAGUCCCCUAAAUCCAAUUCCUACUUGUUUUUGUCAGCCCAAUAUGCAUAAACAUCACAGAGACCUUGCCUUCACUAGCUUAUCUCCAAACUUUAAGUCUCAAGCUCCUACAUUCUUGCUUCAGCUUAUGCUUAUUCUUCAAUUUCUUUCCAAGCUCUCCUACUUCAAACCAAAUGUUUAAAAUCAGUUUCUUUAAGUGCUCCUAAGCCUCCAGGGAAUCAGAGUGACAUGAAAAGACGAUCCUCAUGUUCCGAACAUCUCACUUACCGGUUUGUAUGGCUAUGUCAAACCCGCAGGGUCCACCCUGCAAAUUCCAGCAUCAGUACCUUAACUUUCACAAUUUAAUUAAAAUACUAAACAAUAUCCGUUUUGAGCAAACGACCACUCAUUGGAAAGCUUAGGGUGUCAGGAUUACAAAUAUAAUUUUUGUUUUGAGGGUUAACCAUUCAAUUGGUUCAGUUUAACAAAAGAGCGGGUAUUGGUACAUAAACAUGACUGAAACUUUCUCAAACUUGUAGGCAGCUUUUCUCCUACUAUACUUAAUGAAAUUUAACAACUCUAGUGUCUAAACUAUAGGAAAUUUUGUCUUCUUUACAUUGGAUUAAGAAUCAUUAACAUAUGACCUAUUUUCAGAGAGUUAUGCUAAUUUUACCACAGGUAUGUUUACACGAAUUUCACACAAACAACUCUUCUUUUAUAUGAACUUGCAAACCAAACAUAUACAAUCCAAUAAUAGCCAAAACCAGUCCAUUUAAACUUAUAAAAUCCCUUUAUUUUCCAUCUUUUAGGGUCUCAGGUUUGGCAUGAAAGAGAAAGAAAGGAAUAAAGAGAGAAGGUUUAAUUCAUCUUACCUCAGUUUCUAGACAUCCAAAGCUUGAUUUUCAUGAGAAUUUCGUACAUGCAAUAGGAGGGUUUGAAGAAAAGAAAUGUGGGGGUUUUUGGUUUGAUUCUAAACAGGAGGGAAAAUGGAGAAUUUGAGCAAAAUAUUACUGGAAAUGGGUUUCUUUGAUGAUGGGUUUAUGAUUUUCAUUCAUGGAUGUGCUUGAUUUUGAGGGAUUGGUGAGGAAGGAAUUUGCAGGUGAUGACCAAGGUGAAGAAGAGAGGAUGGCGUCUGAGAAAAGAAGAGAGAGAUAUAAUGAAAAUUCUGAUUUUCAUUCCGAGAAAUGAUAUUUGAACAUAAAUGACAACUUUUGCAACAACUUUCUUUCUUAUACUCACGUUACUUUUUACUUUAUCUCUCUAUUGCUAUGAUUUUUGUGCCAAUACCACAUUUUUCUUUGUAAAAUAUGGUUGUCAAAUAAGUUGUCACCAAAUUGGUUGUUCAAAUAACACUCCUCUUUCAUUCCUCUUAUUAAUCACAUUUAACCCUUUCCUCUUUUACUAUUUUGCCCCUCCUUUUACUACUAAAACAUAAUUGUUUCUUUUCAUCAAUAUUUCUCCAAUUUACUAUAUAAAAUUUUAUCUCAUCCUUUAUUUGGAGUCUCUAAUUCACACCAUUAUUAUUAAUGAGAGCUGGAUUAUUACAAUUGUCUUGGUAGUUUGAACUCAAUGUUGAUUUAUUGACUUUGAAAUCAACAACGAUAUAAAUCGGUGUGUUAAUCAAUAUGGUUGUAUUGC
rnacentral:lncRNA from 1 species